rnacentral:rRNA from 1 species
UACGUAGGUGGCAAGCGUUGUCCGGAUUUACUGGGCGUAAAGCGCGUGUAGGCGGCCUUGCAAGUCGGAUGUGAAAGCCCACGGCUCAACCGUGGAAGUGCAUCCGAAACUGCAUAGCUUGAGUCUCGGAGAGGAAGGUGGAAUGCUUGGUGUAGAGGUGAAAUUCGUAGAUAUCAAGCAGAACACCUGCGGCGAAGGCGGCCUUCUGGACGAUGACUGACGCUGAGACGCGAAAGCGUGGGGAGCAAACAGG